GAUUGUCACACCCUGGCUUUUAAAAUAAGACCAGAGUCGUCAUAUGUGUGCCCAGGAAGUCCACACAUACAACAAAGAAUAGAAAUAUCAGAAACAAUGUUAUAUAUAGCGGAAAAUAUAUUUAUAAUAACACUUACUAACAUCAGAGUACGCGGAAACAGUAGCUAAACUUCUUAGGCUCCAAUCUUCUCAGGGACGGUUGACUGGGGGCUCCGUACGCCAAGCACUUCCCAUAAGCUUCUAGAAAACUCCAUGACAUCUAUGUCCUUCUUCUGAGCAGCACUUUACUACACACUGGGGGUGUGGGGGUAAUAGCAAGGGUGAGUUCAUGUCGAACUCAACAAGUACAGACGAAAAGUAUAAUGACAUGCAAGGCUUAAUCAAAGGAAAAGCUGACACUGUUUAACUGCGGGUGAGCUUUUUAGUUGGUACACUUUUAUUACAAUUCUUUUAUUAAACAACCUAUUACUAAAUAUGAGUGAAGCAUCCCAACCCUUAAUUAGAUGAAAGUAUAUUAACAAUAUCAUUACUCAUCAUUAUAAUUAUUAUUAUUAUUAAGAUCUCCGAGGUAGCAACCUCGGAUAGUAAUUCGGGGUAGCAACCCCAUUAAGGUUAUGGGAUAGCAAUCCCAAUUGAGAGCACAGGAUAGCAAUCCUGCCAACACGGAAUAGCCAUUCCGCCAAAGCACGAGGUAGCAACCUCAACCAAGUUUCGCCACCAAGUAUCCAGUGAAUCCAAUUUGCUCAUCAAGUGAGGGUCUGGGCCGCUCGUGACCGUGAGCACGGCUGAUAUAUCAGUUUUACACUCUGCAGAGGUGUGCACGUUCACUCCAAGUCGUGAUUCCCAUUUGCCCGGGGUCAUGACUCCCCAAAACACUGCCAAGGUGAGCAUGCAGGGUCUCACUACGAGACCUUUCACAGGGUCCAACUAAUAGGAUGCCACUCGUAAGUUUUUGCCGGGGCGCGCGGCAGUCGUGCCCAUAGCAAUGGGACCCCGAACUGACCGACCUCUUAAUAUGAAUAACCAAGCUACAUUCCUUACGCCUACCCGGAAAGUAACACCCUACCAGUGGAGGUCCUGCUAAUUAGUCAAGCCAGAGCCCAUAUAGCUUGGAGCUGCACUGUAAGUCCCAGGGGCCGCUCCCUGACUAAGUCCUUACGGAGAGCAGAGACGGGUACGCCCGGCAAACCGGACCACCAACGGUACCCGCUCCCCCUGUCCUCAACCAAACCACGAUGCUCGCAAGCACCGCAACAUCUCCAUCACCGAAGUGACCAUUGUUCAUCAUUUAAUCAUUUAUCAUCAUUGAAGAAUUUAUUAAGCAAGAUCAUUAUUUUUAUAUUAUAUAGAUUAGAUGAGUAGAGCAACUAAGCAUAUCUACUGUUCACUAUACUACCCAUGUAUAAACCCAGGUAUACAAGGAAUAUAGUAGAAGACUAGUCAUGUCCUUAGGGUUUGCAGUAUUAAGACACAUGCAAUGGAAAGUAAAUGUAUUUAAAGUUCAUAGGUACAAUAUGAUCAAAGGGUGUCUGCACUUGCCUUAAUUUCCAGUGUAUAUCUGCUUAGAAUUCUUUGACUUCUUUCUUGUGAUCUGUAUCUUCUACUGCAACUGUCGGUCCUCAGCUCCUGGUCUUCACUGUUGACGAACCACGCUUCUUCUACUCAAAGCCAACAAGCAAUACAAACAAACAAACAACAAUCACGACUAAGAACAAGCAUCAAUCGAAAGAAAAGCUUAGAAAGAGCACACUAAACGACACGGCUUAUUGCUACAAUCGUGACAACGCAAGAACAAUUAAGAACGGAGCUAUCGUUAAACGGACACGACUAUCGAGGCUCGAAGUGAAACGGAGAAGACGACUAUACGUUGGUCGUAUUUUAAGAAAACAGGUGAUGGAUUAUUCAAAGAAAUAUCAGAAAGAUGAGUUGACCAAACUAUAAAUAAUUAUAAAAGUAGGAGUUAAACUUUAGUCAUAAUUAUAAUUAUUAUAAAUAAUUAUAUACCACUAAAGCCAAUUAAGCGUUUAUAGUUUUAAAAUAUGGAUUAUAUGAAAGCGACUAAUCAAGUGAUUAUAUAUCAGGUUUAAACUAAUCAAGGUAUAAUUAAUAAAGAAACAUUAUAGUUAAUAUCAAUAACAUGAGCAUUUAUUUAUUUAUUUAUAAAAGAUCAAAUUAUAAAUGUGAUUUACUUUUAGUUCAAAAAGACUUAGACAAGUAUUACUAAAUUAUUCAUGUGCUUCAUGUUUAUAUAAUCAAAUUAUAAUUAAGAAGUAUUAAGUUCACAUUCGAUUAUAAAGAUACCGAAAUGUAAUCCUAUAUUGUUUUUAUCUUAAUUAAAUAGAAAUGCAUUCAAAACACUAGUCAGAUUAAUUAUACUCAUAAACAGGAGACAAUGAAAACAACAUUGCUAAAAUGUAGAUUACACCGACAUAGUCACAACACAACGAGAACCGAAUUACAAGCCUAGAUUGUUUUUCUAAUUUAAAAGCUAUUCAAUAGAUAUUAAUCAAUUUAUACUUAAAUCAAUAAAUUUAAGAAUAAGAUAUAUGAUAAAUAUUUAUACUACUGCGUAGAGCACGGCGAUAUGAAACUAACGCAACUGGAACGGCUCGAAUCGGAAUUAAAACGCGCAUUCUAUGACCAAAACCAAAUCGGUGGCAAAACAGUGAAUAAGCAGAACUAAUUUUCGUAUUUUAAAUAACCAAACUGAAUUUUAAAUGCAUUCUGGACUGCGGGCACUAUUUUUUUAAAGCAUAGGGGCUAAAACAGAAAAGAAAAGGGCGUAAAUCUAAUUACUUUUGAACUGGCCGGAGUGCGGGUUGAUUUCACAAAACCUGAGGGACCUUUUUGCAAAAAGGCAGGGAGCGGCGCGGGUGGCCGGGCGGGCUGGCCACGUGGCGUCUCGCGAGUGGCGGGUCCACGGCGGGGCUGUGGACCGCGCGCACGGGGCAGGGGAGGCCGCUGGGCGGUGGACCGGGUCCACCGGUCCAUGGUGGACCGGCCACGCGGGCGCUGAGCCGCGGUCCAUCGUGGACCGCGCGCGGGGCAGGCGAGCGGCGAGGCUGGGCCGCGGCCGGGGGGGCUCGAUUGCACGGGAGCCGGGCCAUGCGGAGGCAGCCGAGGGCGGGGUCGCGUCGCGCGCGAUGCGGGGGGCGCUACGCGCGGGGCGGCCGCGGCCGGGAGAGGCCGGGGCGUGCGGUCCACAGCCGCGGGCGGGUUGACGGCGGCGGUGUGCUCCGGCGAGCGCCGUUCGCGCAGCAGGAAGGGGGAGAGAACGCGCGGAUAACGCCAUCGCACUCGACAUGCUCGCGCGGAGCUCUAGGGAACCUCACCUUGGCGAGAGAGGUGGCGGAGCGAGAAGUCGACGGCGGCGGCGUGGGUUCGGCGAGCUCGGCGGCGGCGCUGCGAACUUUGCUGCUCGGGUUGCGCUAGGGUUUCUAGGGGGUCGCGAACGCGGACGCGGGGGCACUUAAAUAGACGACGGUGAUCAUUGGGAGGCGCGCACGGUUCGGAUAGAGGCGCCAAGCGCGGAAACCGGGGCGGUGGUUGCGCCCCGAGUCCGUCUCGGCCGGAGGUGGGUGAUGACAGGUGGGUCCCACCUGCGGGGCCCACCAGUCAGCGGGCGGCAGCGGCAAAAGGGCAGGGGACGCUGCGGCUGGAGCUGCUGCUGGGCUGGCGCGGCUGGGCCGUGGCCCACUCGGGCAAGAGGGGAGAGGAGAGGGGUGCGGGGUGGGCUGGCCAGGUGCGGGCCUCAAACUGAAGCAGGCCGAGAUUGAGGGAGGGGAAAGAAAACCCCUUUUCUUUUUAUAAAACAAGAUUUCUAAACUAUUUUACUAAACUAAAUUUCAAAACCCUUUUUGAAUUCCUAAUUUGAGAUUAUUUAAGAGCUUGUUUUCCUUACUACUUUUAGAAACAAAGCAUAUUUUGUUAAAAAAACUCAUUUUAAAAUUAUUUUUCAACUCAAUUAUAAAUUAGUUUUUGAAUAGGACUUUUAGUGUUUUAUUUUUCCAAAAACUGACACAACCUAAACGUGGCUCGCUAGGAAUUUUGAAAUUCAUUUUCUUUUCACAAGCCAAACAAAGCUAGGGCACAAAACACACAUCAAAUCAAACACCCUCCACUUAAUUUAAUAAAAGUUUAAAAUUCCACAUUUUUCUCAUUUUAUAAAAGCAUCAAUGAAUAAAAUCUUGGAAUAUUUUACAAAAAUUUUAAAUCCUUAAUUAAUUUAGUGUUUUCCUAAUAACAAUCCAAAAUUAAAAAUUUUGGAGUGUUAUAGAUCUACCCCACUUAACAUAAAUCUUGUCCCGAGAUUUGAAGAAACUAGAGGGAAAGAUAAAGUAGAUCAUCAAAGUUGUUUCGAGACUUUCAAGACAUGAUCAAAGGAUUAAAUAUAGACAUAAAGGGUAAAGAGUAGGGUAAAGACUGAUGACAAGGAAAGAUAAAUGUAUGAGAUAAGAAUUGAUCUUUGAAUCGUGUAUUAUGAUAAGGUGCAAGCGCGAGAAGCUAAUAUUAACAAGAGAUGAUACAUAGGAGAUAAAGAUAAAUAUUAUAGUGCUCCCAAUUCCUUGAUUCAAGAUCUAUGAGAUUAAUGAUAAAAGGAUAAAGAAUUAGCAAAAGUUGAUGAGAGGGACUUAAAUUUAUUGUCAAGUCUUCAUGCUUAAUAUUUUGUAGUCCUAUGAGACAUAAGAUCCAAGAUCACACGUUUGGCAAAAAUGAUAAGGGUUCGUCGCAAGAAUGAUAGGGAUCAAUACAUAGUUCUCCAUGUCUUUUAAGUUGAGACUUUCGAGGGAGAUGAUCGUAGCGGACGCUACCCCACUUAAACCAAGUGUUACUUAUCUUCCAAAAUCCUGUCAAUAUAGUCUUCAAUUUUUUUUUCGUCAGGGGUUAUCAGUUUGACAACACACUGCACAUCUGGGGAUUUCCGAGAAACAGGGUGACAAACAACACAAUGGUGGGAAAAGAUAGAGUGAGAUAAUCUCAGUUAUCUCAGAAAAGGUGCAAGACUGAAGCCAAAAGUCGGUAAGGUUAUCUAGGAGAAGGUUCUUGAACACUAUCUAGAAAAGCAACCCAAGGGGUCUAUUAAGAUUGACCAUAUAUCGGUAUGGUUUUCAUUUGAUCUUCGGGUUCUACAUUUUGUCACGUGAUAAUCCAUCAAAUAUUCGAAAGUAAAAUAAUACAUCUUAUCUUGGGACUUUGGUUUCCUAUGCCUUGCUUUGACAGGUCAACAAGCACCACUCUUCCUAGGACACUUGAUGCUUCUCUAUGGUCUCCAUAGAUGGAUCCUAAGUAAAUUUCUCAUACCACUUGCAGUGUUGGGGAAAUAUUGCAGAGAGAACUGCACAAAGGUUGUCAACUCGUUCUGCAUGGAAUGUUUAAGAUCACUUCACGGGUAAGCACUACCACUCGAUGUUGGGACAGCACUAGGUGCUUCGCCCAAGAUUCCAUGGUUACCACAAAUAGACUAAACAUCUUGACAACCAACUCAUAACUCAUAUUAGGAGAUUAAGAAUGAUAAAGUCCAAUUAAAAAGACAUCUCUUUUUACAAAGAAGAUUACAAGCGACUUGAAUGAAAAAAAAACUUAUUAGCUAAAAGGCAUUCGCUGACUCCAUAUAUUGCCAGAAGUGUUGCAUAUUUCCUUGACGGGUUCAAAUCGAUCUACAAUCUACUUCACAUCUGAUGUUGAGAAAAUAUUGCCUCUCUAUGAGGUCCACAUUCCUUUUGAACUGCCUCGUUGUCGGUACAAUCCUUCCAUUAGUCCUUUAAUCCUUCGGGUGAGGUUGAGUGCCUUCAUACACGAACCUGUCUCCUGAUGGGGUGGUUAGGGAUACUGAGUGUUGGGUACAAUCAAUCUCUCCAUGACAAGCAGUUAACCAUCCUCUUCCAAGAACGACAUCAAUCUCCAUCAAUUCCAAAACUACAAGAUUCACCUCAAAAUUUGCACCUUUUAUGUCAAGACUAACUUUUGGGCACAUGUAGGUUGCUCUUAUCUUUCCUCUUGGUGAUUUGACUAGUAUGGGUUUCUUUAUUUCCAACUUAAGCAUCUUAUGAUCGGCAACACAUUUGUUUGAGAUGAAAGAAUGUGAAGAACCUGAGUCAAACAAAACAGUGGCAGGAGUUGAGUUGACUAGAAUUGAUCCAAACACCACAUUUUGUGCUUCACGAGCAGUACACAGAUCCAUAUGGUUCAAUCUACCAUUAACAUAGUCACGAACAGGGUACUUCUUUGGACAAUGCUUCUUGUGAUGUCCCUCUUCGUGACACUGGUAGCAAGCAUUGCUAACAGUUUUAACAUUAGUGCUAUCCUGACAUUGAGCUCCUUGAAUUGAUGUGCCAGGAGUAACUAAAGUGCUACUAACUUGUUGGUUCUGAGGGUUCACCUUCAAUGGAGUCUCUUCACUUAUUUGCUUCUUAGCUUGAUUACUCUUUCGAGGCUGAAACUCUGUAUAGGUGAUGGUCCAUCCAUCUAGGCAUAUCUCUGGCAUAGCAAGUGUAGCUGAAGGGGCAUCUAACUCUUCAAGAUACGAAUGUGUCUGAUGAGAGUUUGGAGCUAAAUCUAACUGCAAUGUAGAACUCAGAUUUGGCUCAACACUUAACAGUGGCUCUAGGGAGAUUGCCUUCCUUUUCUUGUUACCUUCAGUCUGUUGAUCCUGGGGUACCUCAAUCUUUCCUUCACUUGACUUGUUCUGAAGACAAGGUAAACCAUAAUGUCUACAACAGUGACACAGCUCUUGAAUCCCAAGCGCCUCAUUAAUACCAUCUUUCAUAGCUUUCAUGUUCCUCCAGGCUUCUACGACUUGUCGCUUCAUUGCUUCUUCCAGAGUUUCAGUCAUGUUCUUUUCUAAAGGUAGCUGAGGAUCUUUCUGUGGUUCUACUCCACUUAGUGCUUGAUCCGAUGUGGACAAGAGCUUCUCCUUGUUCAUUGGGGACAAGGGUAGCAUAGUUGGGUCUUCCUGACAUUUGGUGUAAGCUUCUUCAAUUUCACCUUGGAGAAGUAAAGAUUGUAGUAUCAAAAGCUUCUGGAGUCUAGCCAUAUGAUCCGCUGCCAUCUCUAGGAUUUGGGAUUGCCAAGCUAUCAUCUCUUCACUGCUCAAUUGUGUUGCAGAAGUCAUUGGUUGACUCUGAUCACCAAUAUUCUUUCCAUUGAUGUCACCACUUGGAUCAAUCAUCUGACAUUAGGCAAUAGUAGAAUGAGCUAGAGUAGUAUGGACAAAGAGCAUGAUAGGGAGUGAGAGAAAAAUAGGUGGAGAGGAUCAAGAUUGACAAUAGAUGGAUAGGAUAAGAGAGAUCACUACCCCACUUAACAAAGAUCGAGCUAAUCUCUAAACGUCUUCUUCCAGAACUCCUUCAAAACACUAGAACAAAGACAACACACAAACAACAAACCAAGCAAAACAAGCACACAUCACAUCAACGAUACUACACGUGCUUCUUCAACAGUGGGUGUCAUCCUAAAAGGCAAGUCUGAGAUGAUGAAGGGCCAUCGAAUUCGGAAAUAAAGCGAGUUUUUUUUUUAAAAAAAACUUGAGUAAAACAACUAAACAAAAGCCAAGGAGAUAAAUAGAAAUAGCUCAAAGGAAGCUAUUUAAGGAGGGGAUACAACAUGACAAGGAUGAAGAAAUAGUCGGAAUCAAAGGGUCAAGGUAUAAGAAAAUAGUUUUAUAGCAAAAUAAGCUUUAGAAAUCGACCAGUGCUAUCUAGGCAUACGUCCUACAGUCAACACCGCUCUGAUACCAUUCCUGUCACACCCUGGCUUUUAAAAUAAGACCAGAGUCGUCAUAUGUGUGCCCAGGAAGUCCACACAUACAACAAAGAAUAGAAAUAUCAGAAACAAUGUUAUAUAUAGCGGAAAAUAUAUUUAUAAUAACACUUACUAACAUCAGAGUACGCGGAAACAGUAGCUAAACUUCUUAGGCUCCAAUCUUCUCAGGGACGGUUGACUGGGGGCUCCGUACGCCAAGCACUUCCCAUAAGCUUCUAGAAAACUCCAUGACAUCUAUGUCCUUCUUCUGAGCAGCACUUUACUACACACUGGGGGUGUGGGGGUAAUAGCAAGGGUGAGUUCAUGUCGAACUCAACAAGUACAGACGGAAAGUAUAAUGACAUGCAAGGCUUAAUCAAAGGAAAAGCUGACACUGUUUAACUGCGGGUGAGCUUUUUAGUUGGUACACUUUUAUUACAAUUCUUUUAUUAAACAACCUAUUACUAAAUAUGAGUGAAGCAUCCCAACCCUUAAUUAGAUGAAAGUAUAUUAACAAUAUCAUUACUCAUCAUUAUAAUUAUUAUUAUUAUUAAGAUCUCCGAGGUAGCAACCUCGGAUAGUAAUUCGGGGUAGCAACCCCAUUAAGGUUAUGGGAUAGCAAUCCCAAUUGAGAGCACAGGAUAGCAAUCCUGCCAACACGGAAUAGCCAUUCCGCCAAAGCACGAGGUAGCAACCUCAACCAAGUUUCGCCACCAAGUAUCCAGUGAAUCCAAUUUGCUCAUCAAGUGAGGGUCUGGG
rnacentral:lncRNA from 1 species